UGCCCACAAAAAGGAUUACUCUGGCCCC
rnacentral:piRNA from 1 species